CUCUCUCUUCUUGUCUGUUUCAGAGGGUUUCAUGACACGGGUUUGUGGCCUCCUUGCAACCAUACAUUGAUUGCAUGACCCAGGGAUGUCUCGUUCUGCUCCGUCCCCCAUCUACACCCUGAGGGGGGCUGGUGGGCCCCUCAACUGCCUCCACUUCAGCUGCCAUGGAGGGGACACUCCCCUCCUAUUUUCGGGAUCUGGGAAGGGAGCCAUCCAUAUGUGGAACCUGAACACCAGGCGGGCUGAGAAGAUUGUAGAAGGUCAUUGUGGUAGCUCGGUCGUCUGGGUCGGCACGCUGCAGGGGUCAGAGACCCUCGUCAGUCAGGGGCGGGACAUGCAGGUCUGUUUGUGGGAUCUGAGCGAGGGCCGUAGCGAGGUGAUGGACUCUGUGUGCACCGGCAGUGUUGGAUUCUGUCAGUGCUCCGUUCUGGAGACGAGCCCCGGGACGCGUCUGCUGGCCUUCGCUGGACAACAGACAGAAGAGAUCAAGAUUAUUGAGCUGCCCAGUAAGACGGCAGUCUGCACCCUGGUGCCAGACGCUAAGCUGGGGAUGGUCAUGUGCAUCACACUGUGGCAGCCAGACUCGGGUCCCGGACCUCUCCUGCUGGCUGGGUACGAGGACGGUUCCCUGUUGCUGUGGGACGUAACCCAGAGGGCCAAGCUGAGCCAAGCCAAAGCCCACCCUGAGCCCGUCAUGUGCCUGACCUUUGACACCAAGUGUCUGAGAGGCAUAUCUGGCUCUUCUGACAACAAAAUCUGCUCCUGGAUGACGGACAGACAGAACAACCUGCAGCUCCAGGACUGUGUGACGCUGCUCAACCCUGGCGUUUCCCAGCUGUGUAUCAGGGGGGACGGUAAGCUUCUGGCGUCUGCGGGCUGGGACCAUCGUGUGCGGAUAUUCGGGUGGAAGAAGCUGCGACCACUGGCAGUGCUUCAGUACCACACUGACUUGGUGCUAAGCGUGGCUUUCUCUGACCACCAGGACCCCAGACAAAGACUGCUGGCUGCUGGAUCAAAGGAUCAGCGCAUCAGCCUGUGGUCAAUAUACAACGAGGCGGCGGACACUGGCUGAGCCUCCGAGCUCCGGGAGCACAUAUGGACUUUUAUUCAGUACGAUGGCUGAUUCAUCGUUUUGUCACGAAUCAUGUGGGACCGGUCUCCACCUUCUGACCACCUGUCUCACCUUCUGACCACCUGUCUCACCUGAGCUCUGAAGAGCAAGAAAGUUACCUUAGUAAAACAAGAGCAAUACAUGCAUGUGACUCUUACACUGUUCAGUUCUUCACAUCAUCUGCACUGGAGCCUGAGUUUGACUUGAAUAAUGAGAUACGGCAGACAGGGAGGCGAGGCUCAGCAGCAGACAUGUACACAGAGGUGAAGUGAACGAAUGGAGACCCUGAUAGGCCUGUCAGCAACAGAUGUUCCAGAUGCAGCUGAGUGUCAAAUGAUGCCUCAGCUUGCAUUAUCAUCCAUCCUCUGCCUCGUCAUACUUCAGUCUCCUGCGGCCCGAGACAUCUGGGCACAUUAAUGUAACUGGGCCUAAGCAGGUUGCUCUUUUCCUCUUGUGUGAAAUGAAGGAUUCAUUGAAAUAUUGUGCUUGAAUAUAGCCCAGUCGUGUUGAAAGCAUGCCGGAGCCUAUUAAGGUGCAUGUGUAAAAAUGUAAUGUGGAACAUAUUUGCCAAUACAGGCAUCACACUGAUGAUAUUAGUUGGUGUUGAGCUGCAAUUCAUUAUAGUUCCUCCUGUGGGCGCAAUUUCUCUGAUUUGCAAGGAU